GUUGAACGCUGGCGGCGUGCUUAACACAUGCAAGUCGACCGGGAAACCUUUUAUUGAAGCUUCGGCAGAUUUAGCUGGUUUCUAGUGGCGGACGGGUGAGUAACGCGUGGGUAACCUGCCUUAUACAGGGGGAUAACAGUCAGAAAUGGCUGCUAAUACCGCAUAAGCGCACAGAGCUGCAUGGCCCAGUGUGAAAAACUCCGGUGGUAUAAGAUGGACCCGCGUUGGAUUAGCUGGUUGGUGGGGUAACGGCCCACCAAGGCGACGAUCCAUAGCCGGCCUGAGAGGGUGAACGGCCACAUUGGGACUGAGACACGGCCCAGACUCCUACGGGAGGCAGCAGUGGGGAAUAUUGCACAAUGGGGGAAACCCUGAUGCAGCGACGCCGCGUGAAGGAAGAAGUAUCUCGGUAUGUAAACUUCUAUCAGCAGGGAAGAUAAUGACGGUACCUGACGAAGAAGCCCCGGCUAACUACGUG
rnacentral:rRNA from 1 species